rnacentral:rRNA from 1 species
UACCAGCUCUCCGAGUGGUAGGGAUGAUUAUUGGGCUUAAAGCGUCCGUAGCCGGCUUAGCAAGUCUCCUGUUAAAUUCAGCGACCUAAUCGUUGAGCCGCGGGAGAUACUACUAGGCUAGGAGGCGGGGGAGGUCAACGGUACUUCCGGGGUAGGGGUGAAAUCCUAUAAUCCCGGGAGGACCACCAGUGGCGAAGGCUGUUGACUAGAACGCGCUCGACGGUGAGGGACGAAAGCUGGGGGAGCGAACCGGAUUAGAUACCCGGGUAGUCCCAGCUGUAAACGAUGCGAGCUAGGUGUUGGGGUGGCUACGUGCCACUUCAGUGCCGCAGGGAAGCCAUUAAGCUCGCCGCCUGGGGAGUACGGCCGCAAGGCUGAAACUUAAAGGAAUUGGCGGGGGAGCACCACAAGGCGUGAAGCUUGCGGUUC